CAUGAUAUCUAUUAACAUUAUAAAGGCCUGUCCACCUUCUCUAUCGUCUACAACGGCGUCGUUUGGAUCUCUAACUAUGACUCUACGACUGCAACCUCAUCCAUGGGUGGUUUUGAAGAUGGGAUCUUCAAGGACGAUCAGACCCAUGAGCAUGCUCUCCUUAUUUAAUGGAUUUUUGUUUUAAUCUUUACUCUGUUUUGUGCUCAAGUGUUUCUGGUUUGUUUGUUUUGCAGAUACAUGCAACAACUUCGAAGUAUUUUAAGGCAAGGUAUGAUAAAUUUGUGAAGGAAGUUUCAUCGUAUUUGAAGAAGGUGGAUUACAGCCCAAAGGAAGUGGCUUUCUGUUUUUGUUCCCCAUUUCCUUUGGGUUCAAACCUGCCCCCAACAUUUUUUCAUCUUCCCCAUAAUAUCAUGCAAAAAAGAUCACAAUAUCAUAAAUGGAUACCUUAUUCGAAUCAACUUCUAAAUUUUUGUUUUGAGUAUUUUUGCAGACAAACAGUUUUGAAUUAGCUGUUAGGCGUGCUAAAAGAGGAGACCUCCAUGUGCAUAAGAAUAAUGUCUAAGGUUUAUGACUUUUUAUUUUAAAUUUGUGAUUUAAGCCAUUAUACAUCAGCAGCAUAUAAAAUUUUAAUAUUUUUUCAUUGCAAAUACAAAUAGAGAUGCUCAUUUGCAAUGAUUUGUGUGACCUUGGAAGUCAAUAGCCAAACAGGUUCUAGCGGCUACUGAAAGUUUCAAACACUAGGAGAGGCUGGAAAUAAGUGGUUACAAGGAAAGACGGAUGCCGUGAGGCAGUUCACAUUCUGAUUAGAUGGUCAUGAAGCAGAGUUGGUGUAACUUUUUCCACAUCAAGGGUGGUUUACAUAAUUGACACGAUCAAUUGCAUUCCAUCUUCCAGUGAAUCAAAGCCGAGUUGACAUUGUUAUGUUGAUGUUUACCUUUCUGUCUACUUUUUUCUUUGUUUAUUUUGUUGGAACUAAGAACAUUUUAUUUAUUUAUUCUUCAUUUGUAUAUUAGCUUACAUAUCAAAUCAUUUUCUCUUCAUAAUUCACUUU